rnacentral:sRNA from 1 species
AGGGGCUCCUGGUCUCUGUGGAAACCAUGGCCAGUAGCAGCCUCUGUGCCUGCCUGUCUUCUGGGCUCAAGAGUUGUCCUAUAAACCUCAGCUCAGUGUGGGCUGACAAUGAAGACAAGAAACCCACUGCAGUCCCCAAGAAACCCAGUGCUGGGGAUGACUUUGACUUAGGAGAUGCUGUUGUUGAUGGAGGAAAUGACGACCCACCACCACCGAACCCACCCAAACCGAAGCCAAAUCCAAACCCCAACCACCCUAGUUCCUCUGGUAGCUUUUCAGAUGCUGACCUUGCGGAUGGCAUUUCAGGUGGAGAAGGAAAAGGAGGCAGUGAUGGUGGAGGAAACCACAGGAAAGAAGGGGAAGAGGCUGAUGCCCCAGGCGUGAUCCCCGGGAUUGUGGGGGCUGUCGUGGUCGCUGUGGCUGGAGCCAUCUCUAGCUUCAUUGCUUACCAGAAAAAGAAGCUGUGCUUC